rnacentral:rRNA from 1 species
AGCGAACGCUGGCGGCAGGCUUAACACAUGCAAGUCGAACGGGCACUUCGGUGCUAGUGGCAGACGGGUGAGUAACGCGUGGGAACGUACCUUUCGGUUCGGAAUAAUUCAGGGAAACUUGGACUAAUACCGGAUACGCCCUUCGGGGGAAAGAUUUAUCGCCGAUAGAUCGGCCCGCGGUUGAUUAGCUAGUUGGUGCGGUAAUGGCUCACCAAGGAGACGAUCAGUAGCUGGUCUGAGAGGAUGAUCAGCCACAUGGGGACUGAGACACGGCCCAAACUCCUACGGGAGGCAGCAGUGGGGAAUAUUGGACAAUGGGCGCAAGCCUGAUCCAGCCAUGCCGCGUGAGUGAUGAAGGCCUUAGGGUUGUAAAGCUCUUUUGUCCGGGAAGAUAAUGACUGUACCGGAAGAAUAAGCCCCGGCUAACUUCGUGCCAGCCGCCGCCGUAACAC